AUCUCUUCAAAUUCUUGCUCUUGUUUUGAUGGAAAACAUUCAGUUCUAUAAUAAUAGUACUUAGAUAACCUGUACUUGACCUGUCUUUGGAUAGUGAUGAUUUUCUAUACAAGAUGCUUUACUGUGAUAACACUGUGAUUCAGACACUCUAUCUUAAGGCAGCUGGUAUACAAAUUCCAGAGCUGCUUGGCUCAGGAAAUUUUUUUCUUCCACUGCUAUUUGAAUGUAAGCUGCACAAUGAAGGCCUUUCGUGCCAGUCACGUUUUCAAAGUGCUCUCCCAGUUAAUGCAUUUCCAUUAGAAUUCCUCUGUUUUUGAUUUCAAGAACACAGCACUGCACUCAUGGGAACUGAGCUUUUCAGGUGUUAAAGAGGAUUUGUUAUAUGGAAAGGCAGAAAUUCCUACAUUUGUCCCCUCUGCUGUGUUUUGUGACCUGGUGCUUCCCUAAACCUAGUGGCUGUGCUCAUACUUCACAUGGAGUUUUCUUCUUGAAGGAAUGCUGCAGCAGGAAGAUAGAAAGCAAACUUGCAAAAAAUGUAGAGGGGUUAAGCAAGCAAGUUUGGAAUUUGAACUUGCACAAACAAACUCCUGAGCACACAGCAAUGGGCCAUCUACAGUACCAAAGAAGACAUGCAGUCCGGCUGUUCCAUGGCAUCUCCUUUCUCCUCACAGAAUGCGUACUGCUGUGCUUAAUGAUAACACCUUUAUCUGACUGAACAGAAAUAGAUGUUAAUUUUAAAAUGUAUUGAGAGUAAAAGGGAAAGGAAAGGAGAAAAGCACAGCUGCAACCUUCUGUUUGUGGACUUUCCAAAUUUUUAUUCUGAACACACGUCUAACAUCAUUCAUGGAAAUACCAGCUCAGCACUGUUGAACAGCAGUGUGUUUCUUUAUAUUUAUUUUGCCCCCUCAUAUUUUCUUCCAUUAAAGUUUAGCAAUGUACACAAACAAACUGCAGUGAGAAAAAAAAGACAAAAAUGAAACUCAUAAAAAGGCAGGCAAUAGAAGUGACCUUUGCCACUCCUUUGAUAGUAUUUUGAACAUUUCUCUGCUAGUAGCUAAGAUUUUCUUUUACACUUUCAGGCAACCAUAGAUGAUAACAUGAAUAAAAUUGUAUGGUGUCUCA
rnacentral:lncRNA from 1 species